UUUGCCAAGAUUCUCUACCCUCAUUCGGAGGCAAAUGAAGGAUUUCAGGGUGAAAUACCACUGGGCUUCCCACUCAAAGUGACUUUCCAUGAUUCAGUCUCCAGAAGUUGUCUCGUCCUCCCAGCUCACCUCCCUGCAAUUCGCCUUUCAUCCACCUAAUGCAGCCAGUCUGCCACCUUGCUUGGGGGAGGGAUGGACUGAAUAUGCUGGAGCCGUCAGGGAGCUCCCUCCUGUAGAGGUCCUAGACUGAGUUGGCAGAAGAGAAGUGUUCCUGCUGAGCUCCUGUAGCUCUCCAGCAUGAUGUACGGCGAAUUAAACAGAGAUCGAAUCCUGGAAAAGCUGCAAGGGCACCACCUCGGAGAAGAACCUGGUAAACAAACAAGAAGCAGAGUGGAAAAUAAUUAAAAUAUAGAAAGGAAGUGGGAAUAUUUAUAGCCCUCUGCCUUGAAGGCAGGCCUCCAAUGCCUGGAGAGCAGAGAUGUUUUCCAUAUGAACUCUCUCAGACCCUGGAUCAGCUUUUCAAGAAGGGCUUUUGUUUGUUUUAUA